rnacentral:misc_RNA from 1 species
AAUUUGAAGGAGAUCAAGAAGGCAAUGGAAAGUGUCUUAUUUAUGCACAAGCUGUCAGCAAUCUUUAACCAUUGGGGAACUAAUCAUAUCAAAGCUCUUCGAUUUGGUGGGGAAAAAGUUAUUCAUGACACAUCCAUUGCCUUCUUGAUCUCCUUCAAAUUNUCUUGUGGCUGUCGUCUUCAACAAAGCUUUCUUGCAAUUUGGUUUGAUGGUGUAUUCGGCUUUGGUGAAGCCUUUGUCCCAUUUGAAGUAUGUUCCUAAUCCUUCCCUCUUACGCAGCAGAUCAUGGGAUCAAAAGGAUCAAACUUGAGUGAUUGAAAAGAACUUGAGGUGAAUAAUAAUGCCAUUUGUUAGGAGGUUGAAAAUCUCUCCACCGUACCUUUAUCGUCUUGCUGAUCGUGUCAUGCAUAUUGAUAAAUAGAUGUAGAUUUCGCCUAUACCUCCAAUAAUUU